rnacentral:rRNA from 1 species
CUACGGGGUGCUGCAGUGGGGAAUUUUACGCAAUGGGCGAAAGCCUGACGUAGCGACACCGCGUGAGGGAAGAAGCCUUUCGGGGUGUAAACCUCUUUCGGCAGGAACGAAUUCUGACGGUACCUGCAAAAGAAGCAUCGGCUAACUACGUGCCAGCAGCCGCGGUAAGACGUAGGAUGCAAGCGUUGUCCGGAUUUAUUGGGCGUAAAGAGUUCGUAGGUGGUUUGGAAGCCUGAUGUUAAAUACUGGGGCUCAACCCCGGAACUGCAUUGGAAACUACCAGACUGGAGUGCAGUAGAGGCGAGUGGAAGUCCCAGUGUAGCGGUGAAAUGCGUAGAUAUUGGGAAGAACACCAGUGGCGUAAGCGACUCGCUGGGCUGUAACUGACGCUGAGGAACGAAAGCCAGGGGAGCGAAUGGGAUUAGAUACCCUAGUAGUC